rnacentral:rRNA from 1 species
UAUUCAACGACCGCGUCAUUAGGGGUGCAGCGUGUCCGAUGGAAGAGCUGGCGUCCGAGCGAUUGGGAUUUAGAGGCGGAGCAGGCAGCAGCGGUGGCGGUAGCGGCAAGGCGGCGGCGGCGGCGCGGCAUGAGGUCCGCGGGGGCGGGGGCCGGAGAGCGGUCGCAGCGGCAGGGGGCAAGAAGGGGCGGCCCUGCAGGGCGGGGACGGCAGAGGCGGCGCGGGGAGGGGGGGGCUAGAACCCGGCAGCCAGAGGAAACGAACUCAAACAGUAACAAAACCAACGUUUACCGCUGACUUCGACGAAGAGUGUAGAGACCGCCAAGCCUAAGUUGUUGCCACCGCAACGAUCUUGUUGAAUGACUUCAUAAACCGUUCGACUUCAGGGUGUGUCUUCGUAGGGAUGUUAACGUUUCACCGUAAGUCACCCUUCUAUAGUUUCAUGUAAAGGACUUGGAACUCUUCAGUAUGUCUUCGUUCACGCUACUUGACCUUCUGUUCGUCUUCCGUAAUCUUCUUGUCUUUCGGCCUCCAGCAUCCGACUAACGACUCUUUCUUCGACUAGAAAGACGUUUUCUCGCACGAAGACACUUGUUCGAAGUCCUCGACUUCCUACGACGGCAGAGAUGGGAUCGUCUCCACGCGUUUUUUAUAUUACAGCUCGAAAGACUCUAUGAACUACGGUUACCUUCGUUUCUGUUUUUCCAUUUUUGGGGUUGGCUGCUGUGGUUAUGUAGCGAGGGAAGUCUGCUCGUAUUGAGACGAUUUCCCAGCCCGUUCGGUAGACUUGGAAGUGGUCAACUCCAAUUCGGCGCGGGACGUGACUUCCUUGAGACACUCGUCUACCUGCGAUUUCCGGAAGACUUUAUAUAAAGUCUUUUAAGUUUUUUUGAACGACCGAAAGCACUACUUGAAACACAACGUGAUUUUACACGUUGACUGGGACGCGCGAAGCAUGAACUAAGGAACCUCCCAAAAAAGGGUCUGGUUGACGGACCCCUAUUUUUAAUGAGGCGAGUCCCCGUCGCGUCUUCGACAUAACAAAACUACCUCCGAGAUCGUGUAAGUGAUCCUUACUUCCUCGGUCCACCGUUUGUGGGAACCUCGAGACUUUAAUACCUCGUUCGGUUCCGUUAACGGUUUCUCACCUUCUCAUUCUAUCGACUCCAACUGGAACUACGAAGACUACCGAUGAGUAACCUUCGUGUACGUAAGGACGUCGAAGAAUGUUGAAAAUUACAACUAAACCACGAACUGCUUCUACUUGAUAUGUUCUAACAUCAACGGUAAAGAGCAGCGUCCGUCUGACGACUCGAUACAGCGAGAGAACCAAACUGACUCUCUUAUGGUCCACAAUAACUCCUCAACUAAUUCUUUGUGUCCGUUUAACUACGUCAAGUUAAGUAUGUUCGGAAACCCGACAGUCUCCGAAAAGGAGGACGAGGAGAGCACUUCCGUAUACAUCUACUCUAUUUUCCGAGUGAAUUGUUAUUCCCCCUACGACCACGUUGAGGAAGUCUACUGAACUUCUUGGCGCUCGAUCAACGUAACUCCCGGUAUUAGUUCACGUAGCUCCUCAUGUUCGAGGUCUUCCUCACAGGUGAACCUGGAGAGGUCUUUGCGUAGUUGCUCGACUUUGGUUUCCCGCGCUUUUCCGGUAGUCCAAGACGAUUAGCGUUGAUGCGCUUCUUCGUCGCCCAGAGACCGUCACCGUGAAGUCGAGGAGCCUCCGGGUGGCCACGUCAUCGAGGGGCGUCCGGGCGUCGAGGUCAGCCGUGUACCGUCGUCGCGCGGGGAGGCGGCCACCGGCGGAUGGGGCUGUCCAUGCCCCAGCGGCGGCUGGCCAUGGUGAUGCGCGGCGGAGGACGGCGUCGCAUACUGCGCCGGUGGAUACGGCGGAUGCCGCCGCCACCGCUCGUCAUGUCCCGGCGGCGGGGUUUCGGUAUGGUCAUGUUGGGUCCUAGUCGUCGGCGUCGUCGGCGGCGGCGCAGCAUGUUGUUGUAUGGGGUCAUAUUCCAGCACAUGCCGCCGGGGCCGCGGGUCGGCAGGUGCCGCCGUCGGCCGAUGCGCGGGAUGCCGCCUCCGAGCCACCCCGUCGUCGUCGGGGUCGGACGGCGAAGCAGACCUCCGAUGGACUCGAUACGGCGGCCCAAGCCGAUGGCGGGAAGUGUCGUCGUCAUCUCCUACAUUCCACUUUGAUGGGACAAUCCGGAAACGAGAACAUACGUUACACAUGAAACGAGGGACCUUGGUGGGAGGCCUGGCAUCUCCUCACCACCUCAACAAAUGGUAGGUAGGUAGGGGAUCACGUAGAACAUCCACGACAUUGAACGAAAAAAGGGGGGUUUAGAACAGCUACAUUCUUCAGUAUUUCUCUAAACACCACGAUGAACGUAGAAUGAAUUGACGACGGUCAUCGGAGACACAAAGACAGACGUAAUCGACAACGGCACCAACGAACGAACCUGGACACGUGUACACAACCAAACGCAAAGAUUCACUUAUCAAACACACACAAACUACAC